rnacentral:lncRNA from 1 species
UUUUUUUUUUUUUUUAUUCACGAAUCACAUAUAUGAAAAUAUGUUAAAUAUGUCUCGAAUUUUAAUACCGUAAGGUCUUCUAACUAUAUUCUAUUUUAAUUAUCCCGUUAAGUUAAGUUUAGAUUAUACCUAAUUUAUCGAGAUAUUCCUAAUCUUAGUGGGUUUGUAUUCCUAAUCGUAUUAGGAUUUAGCCACUAUUAUAAAUAUACUAUUUCUGCUAUUAAUUUAGUGCGAAAGAUAAGAGAGAGAAUAUGGGUGUAUUUUUGGGAUUAGGGUUUUGUGAGAGAGGCAUAUUUUGUACGCCACUUUGAUUCUAAUGAAGAUUUCCGUUCCGUCUUCGCCCGUAGACGUAGGCCGUUGGCCGAACCACGUAAAUAUUGUGUGCUUUAUUUUUUCUUCUCUCUUUCUCGAAUCUCUUUUGGUAUUUUCGCAUCCGACGAACUAGAUCUUCUCGAUUUUAGUUCUAACAAAAUAUGUUGAGAAAUUUAUGAAUUUUAAUUUCACGGGCCAAUGUAAAAGUUCUAUAAUAAGCAGGACAAUGGUUUUAUCUAGACAGUUAGUUGGUAUUAAAGAAAAUAAUCAAAGCGGAUAACUUGUCAUCUUUAAUGAUCUCUCUCUAUCAAAAAAAAAAAAAAAAAAGAAAAAAAA